GCGCGUAGAUGAAGGAGCUUCCAACCAACGCCAGAUAGAAAAUAAAGGUCAGAAGAAAAAGCAGAAGAAGAGUGCGGCUCUGAUCGAAUCAAGUAGGCCCCCAUCCAAUGAGCGAGCCUCAUCUCGAUAAGGGAGUCCGAAGCUGACCUACAGUAGGUAUGACUCCUACACUCCUCUUUCUGCUCCUCGUGCAUAGAUCCUCAUGGAGAUUGAAGGAGCAGAAUAUCUACGGCACCCUCCAUCAAUGAAAAUGAAGAACCGCAAUCAAAAGAGGUAUUGUCGGUUUCACUGAAACUACAGCCAUGAUAUCGAGCAAUGCAUCCAACUCAGGGACGAGAUAGAGUCCUUGAUUCGAUAAGA
rnacentral:lncRNA from 1 species